AUUCUUUGUUGACCACCAUCAAGAAAAAAAAAGCCAUUCAAUUUUGUGUUUCCUCCUCGGGAAGCCCCAGUCUGCUGCUCUAAUGAUUGUUACUCCAGAGGGAAUGCUGAAUACGGCGCCAGGGUAAUACAAAGGUAAUGGAAACAGAAGCUGGAAGAUCAACCCUGGAGAACCUGAAGCCGGUUCCCAGACAGCUUGGACCAGAGGGGAGAUCAACAGAGACAAACUUAAUCCUGUCCUCACGGAGUCCUGCCCACUAGGCUUUAGUGAAAACCACUGUGCUUUUUCCUCUGUUCCUGGAGAAUUUUAACAAAACAGCCCCGAGCCCUACAAGGAAGGGGAGCAGAAGGUUCCCCCACAGCUGGAUUGGGUACUUCAGAGAUCUGUUGAGCUCUGUGUCUGGAAGGACGAUGCAAACUGGCAAUGAGGAACAGGUCUAUGAGGGUCAAGAGACCAGCUUGUCUCUAGAGCCAGAAAGAACUGAUUCGUCCAGUUUGACCCCUUCGCCGUACAGUGAUGAACACAAAAACGGAGGGAGCAAGAUCCACCCAUGUCACGUGGGACCCAUUUCAAAUGCACAACUCCCAGCUUCCAGUCUCGCCCAGUCUGAUGGGUGGGAUAUUAAAGAUUGUUGUUCAUUCA